GGAAGCAGGCUCUCAGCAGACGCUGAGUCUUCCAGUGCCUUGAUUUUAGAAUUCUUUGACUCCAGAACUGUGAGAUAUUAAUGUAAAGCAAAUGUCUGCAGAAGAGUAUUUGGCAAUCAGUAAAGCAACUAUGAUUUCUGAGAGACAGAUCCCAGAAAGAAACAGCUCCAGGAAACCAGGAAUCCAUCAUUGAUUUUCAGCCUCAAGUCCAGGGACUGACCUACACUGAAGGUUCAGCAGGCUGGAUGGAGGACUGCCCUGAGGUACAUGAAAAGAUGUUCAACAUCACUAAUCAUCAGGAAAAUUCAGAUCAAAACCACAAUGAUGUAUUACUUCAUCCUGUUAGAAUGGCUAUCAUCAAGAAGAUAAGGGAUAAUAAGUGCUGGCCAGGAUGUGGAGAAAAGGGAACACUUGUGCACUGUUGAUGGGAAUGUAAAUUGGUUCAGCUACUAUGGAAAACAGUAUGAAAGUGCUUCAAAAAGUUAAAAAUAGGUCUAUCAUAUUGCCAUACUUCUUAAAGGCAUGUAGACACAUGAAUGUACCAAAUAAAAAUAGUAUUUUGUGCUGUUUGCUAUUUUAUAUAUCAUUUUGCAGGGGUUUAUUUUCACUAGUAUGUUUUGGGGGGUUGUUCAUUCUAUAAAAAUCUUCCUUAUCAUGCACAACUGCUAUAGUAUAUUCUCUAGUAUGCCUUAUCCAUUCAAUCAUUGAUAGUAUUUUACAACUUUUUUUUUUUUUUAUUUUUCACAAACAAGAUGCUAAAAACACCCUGGGACAAGCCUACUUGUUUGUCUGGGUUUCCCUACGAUUGUGUUCUACUGAUUCACACUGCAUCAUAUCUAUCCUGCCCUUGUCAUGUCUCCAAGCAAGCAAAGCACAUUCCCUGUCCCAUUAUUGGCUUUGUACCUGUGAGCACCACUUCAGAAGGGACACUCUGCUUCAGAUGGUGUAGUUCAACUCCACCUGUUGCUCUUUCUCCCUUUGCCUCAGGAACAGCAUAUCUGAGAUAAGGUCUGCUUUCCUCCAUCUAUGACUCCAUAAUGGGAGCACAUGCAGAGAAGACCAGAGCUGACCCACAUUCCCAAGUGGUGGUAACAGAGAAAGAGAGAUUUCUUAUUAUACUACUUUGGGAUAUUAGGGACAUUCAAUACCAUUGCAAAAGCUGAAUAGUGUAACUAAAUUCUAACAAGUAGAAUGGUUGAGUCAUAAGUUUAAGUCCAUUCUACAAAUAUUUUGAAGUAAAAGAUUUUGAACCUACUGUUCUAGAUUCUGGGGUUCAUAGCAGUGUAGAGCAGUGAAGAAAGUCAAGUUCCUACUGGCAGGGUGCUUAUGUUCUGCACGUUAUAAAUUUUUAAAGUUUUAAUAAAUGCCAUCAAAUUGCCUUCCCCUAAUAUAUAGUUAUAAAUAGAGAGAAAAUUUAGGGUGCUUUGUCUUUCCAGAUUGCUUCUCCUCUAUUCCCUAACCUGCAAAGAAGUGCUUUCAUUCUAAGCAUGAGCUCAGCAAAGCUGGCUCUACAACUAACCCUCACCUUAUAGACCCUGGCAGCCAGUCUGGCUGUGGAUAUUCUACUUGGUAAUAUCAUCUU